rnacentral:rRNA from 1 species
AGAGGCGAACGGGUGAGUAAUAUAUCGGAACGUACCCCACAGUGGGGGAGACGUAGCGAAAGUUACGCUAAUACCGCAUACGAUCUAAGAUGAAAGUGGGGGAUCGCAAGACCUCAUGCUCGUGGAGCGUCCGAUAUCUGAUUAGCUAUUUGGUAGGGUAAAAGCCUACCAAGGCAUCGAUCAGUAGCUGGUCUGAUAUGACGACCAGCCACACUGGAACUGAGACACGGUCCACACUCCUACGGGAGGCAGCAGUGGGGAAUUUUGGACAAUGGGCGAAAGCCUGAUCCAACAAUGCCGCGUGAGUGAAGAAGGCCUUCGGGUUGUAAAGCUCUUUUGUCAGGGAAGAAACGGAGAAAGCUAAUAUCCCUUGCUAAUGACGGUACCUGAAGAAUAAGCACCGGCUAACUUCGUGCCAGCAGCCGCGGUAAUACGUAGGGUGCAAGCGUUAAUCGGAAUUACUGUGCGUAAGCGUGCGCAGGCGGUUUUGUAAGUUUGUUUGUGAAAUCCCCGGGCUCAACCUGGGAAUUGCAUUGGAGACUGCAAGGCUAGAAUCUGGUAGAGGGGGGUAGAAUUCCACGUGUAGCAGUGAAAAUGCGUAGAUAUGCGGAGGAACACCGAUGGCGAAGGCGGCCCCCCUGUCAAGAGUGACGUUCAUGCACGAAAGCGUGGGGAGCAACCAGGAUUAUAUACCCCUGGUAUUCCACGCUCCUACACGAUGUCUACUAGUUGUCGUGUUUUAAUUGACUUGGC